rnacentral:rRNA from 1 species
CCUACGGGAGGCUGCAGUAGGGAAUAUUGCUCAAUGGGGGAAACCCUGAAGCAGCAACGCCGCGUGGAGGAUGAAGGUUUUCGGAUUGUAAACUCCUUUUGUUAGAGAAGAUAAUGACGGUAUCUAACGAAUAAGCACCGGCUAACUCCGUGCCAGCAGCCGCGGUAAUACGGAGGGUGCAAGCGUUACUCGGAAUCACUGGGCGGAAAGAGCGCGGAGGCGGGAUAGCAAGUCAGAUGUGAAAUCCUAUGGCUUAACCAUAGAACUGCAUUUGAAACUGUUAUUCUAGAGUAUGGGAGAGGUAGGUGGAAUUCGUGGUGUAGGGGUAAAAUCCGUAGAGAUCAAGAGGAAUACUCAUUGCGAAGGCGACCUGCUAGAACAUAACUGACGCUGAUGCGCGAAAGCGUGGGGAGCAAACAGGAUUAGAUACCCUUGUAGUC